GUAGAGGAAGAGAAAGGGCAUCAGAGGCCGCAGAACGCUGAGGAAAUUGCAACUUGUCGUACAGCGGGGCGUAUUUCGCAGCGCUCGACGUUUCUGCGCAGGCGCGAGUAUGAACGGUUGCGAGAGAGAAAAUAUGGGGGCCUUUGCCAGUCCUCUUUACCCACAGCGCGGUCCUAUGCCAACGUGCUGAAGGGACCCACCUUUGCACCCAGGCCUCUGGUACCAGCCCCUCGUGCCUCCCACUGCCAGGCGACGAGGCAAGCUGUCAGCACUGUGCUGCCAGCUGACCACCCGCUCUGGUCCAUCUGCCUGCACGCAGUGGCAUGCCAUCAUACAGCCAACCAACAUGACUGACCGGCCAACAGCAAGGAAGGGUCGCUGCUGCCCGAGCGUUCUCCAGUGGAACACUAACUCUCUGCGGCAGCGACACGUGGACGUCACCCUGCAUCUUCUGCAGAGCGAGUGUGACAUACUCGCUCUGCAGGAGGUGUACGCUGUGGCCGAGGCCCUGCGGCUCCCCGGAUACACCGGCUACUCAGGUGCCACCACCUGCACGACCUGCGGCUGCACUGAUGCACCGUGCCUGGCCGACGCCCACCACACUGGCAAGCCUCGGGCAGCCAUCUACGUCCGGAGCAACCUUGCGCACGCUGUGGUUCCAGUGGCCAACGUCGUAGGAGGCCCCCUUGAGUGUUGUGCUGUCACGGUGCGUCUUGGCAACCAAGACAUGACUGUGGCGAGCAUGUACAUCCAUCCUGGGAAGCCAUAGGACUUCUCCAUCCUUGUCCAGCUGGCUCUACGCCUCGGCAGGCAGGCAGACCUGUGUGGCGACGCCCACCACAGACUGCGGAAGCCUCAGCUGCUCCCGCCGAGGCUGAACGCUCCGCAAUGCCAUCAGCAGAGCCGGACUGGUGAUUCUGAACAGUGGAGGACCCACCUACGUCUCCUGAGGGGUGAGCACAGCCAUCGACCUCUCCUUCACUACAGAAAAGUGCUUGCCACUCUGCUUCUCCAUCACCCCUGCUGCACGGCUGCACCACUCGUUUCAAGCACAGCACACCAAAUACACAUUCAGCGUUGAACAGUGAGCAGUUGACGCAGUCACAUUUACAUGACUUGUAGCGAGCAGCACAUCCCUUGAUGUCCGUUAAGCAAAGUCGAACAUGGCGACGCCACAUCGCGGUUCGCAGAACUUCACUGCUGAGGCAGUGAAGUUCUCAAGUGGCAACUAGGUCACUAGGUUCUCCAAUGGCCACUAAGCCACUUUGACAUCUGAAUUGUCACCACCGCCGAGUUCUCAAGGAAGUGCGGGUUAUACAAUGCAGAUUCUGUACUGCCAGAGCUCACCGAGGCCAAAGCUGCACUGCCGCACCACCACUACUCACGGAACUGACAACCAACACACAAGCCACGCAAGCAACAUUGAACAAUGCAUGGGCCAGAGAACGAUCACACCGAGGACGAACACGCCACGGCGUCGCUUGGCACCAUUAUCUCGCCUUCUCAAAAAUUCCAAAACGAUCCUGUCCUUAGGCACCUAGGAUCAGGUCAUGUGAGGGAUUUUUGUACAUUUAGGCGCACGUGAACAACAUAGAGGAAAUUACUUGUGCUUAAUAAAUGAAAUAAGGCUAUGUGAGUGCGUGAAAAAUAAAAACAGAAAACAUCGGCUGCACAAGUAUAUAGCUGCAAGCCACAAGAAUGUGUAGUGAUCAAAAUCCUAGACGUCUACUGCACAGCACGGGAGAUAAACCAAGGCACAGAGAAGACCCGCCGAUCCACGAUCGAUGGAGCGAUCAUUGCCCGCGGGACACGGCAAGGCACUGGAGUCCACAUUCGUUUCGCACAUUACUCUUUGUGCCACAUCACAGUUGACGUGCAGCGGAUCCGACUACUCAUGAUUGCUUUUGCAGUGCACCGCUGAGGAGGAAGGUAUCCAUUAAGGGACAAGGUUCUCAAUCCUCGUCCAUGAGAUUGAAUCAUCAAAAUCCUCAUAAGAAGUCAUGACGCGGGUGAGCUCGCAUUGUCCUCACAGUGAGCUACAUCGGCAGUGGGUGCGAAAGAACUCGUGAGUCGUCUUCGGCACAUUAGCAGAGCUGAACGUUAACCUUUGUGUACGUGAAGCUCAGCUUGGUGUGUGCGGUCAUUCCAGCGACUAUAGGCAGUGCGACGGUGUCAAUGUCGCUGGAGAUGACACUGCCCAAGAAAACUCCGAGAGUGAUUAAGAAGAGUCGUAUUCAGACUCUGAUGAAGCUACGCCUACGUGUGUGAAGGAAAGGAGUCAAACCGCUUUUUGUGGAAGCAUACCAAUAUGUGAAUGGCGGCACUUACCUUCCAACAUCAGUGCUUCACCUUGGCACACCUUACAAUUUCUUCCGCUACAUCUUUACUCUCGAGCUACUUCACACAAUAACAGUCCUGCCUUUAUUCCAUGCAAUCACGGCCUGAGAAAACUAUCUAAAUUACUGAAUCUGAUAUGGAGACGUUCGUAGGUUCACUGCUAUGGAUGUCUCUGAUUCGCCUCCCAAGUACAAGAAUGUACUGCAAUUCCAAGUUCUACAUCCCUCAAGUGGCAAAACUUAUGCCUGUGAAUAACUGGCAGGAAAUGAAGCCAUCGCUUCAUUUUGCUGACAACACCGCUGCCAUAACAAAGGACCAAGACUGUCAUGACAGGCAGUAUAAAAUCAGACCAUUGCUUGAAAGCAUCAAAGAACACUGCUUGUCCAUGCCUUUUUAGGAAAAUCUUUCUGUUAAUGAGCAAGUCUGCGCCUUCAAAGGAAGAAGUGUCCUGAAACAGCACAACCCCAAAAAGCUGCAUAGAUGGGGGUACAAGAUUUUUGUUCUGUAAGGAAUUAGCGGCUUUCCAUACCACUUUGAACUUUACAGGGGCCGGGAGAACGCCAUCAUAGAUGGCAUGGUUGACUGUGGAGCAAGUGGGAAUGUUAUGCUCUGGCUUACCAGCCCUGUUCUAUGUCGUACAUGCCACAAAGUUUAUUUUGAUAAUUAUUUCAAUAGUCCUAAGCUGCAAAUAACCCUAGCAAUAACUGGAAUUCUCUCGCUAGGAACUAUCAGACUAGGCUACCUGGUUGCCCAAUAAAAAGUGAAAAGGAAUUGAAAAUGCAAGGAAGAGGAGCAUCUGGUCAGGUUUGUUGCACAGCUGAAGGUGUAGAAUUAUGUGUACGCUGGCAUGAAAACCGGGCAGUGACAUUCUUGAAUAGCUUUGUUGGCAGAUUGCCCAUGCAAAAAGCAAGGCGUUGGUUUCCAAGUGCGAAAAUAUCCCGCGAAGUUGACUGCCCGAAGAUUGUGCAGAUUUACAACAAGCAUAUGGGAGGUGUCGGCCUUCUCGACUCUCUCUUUGGUCUUUAUCGCAUCUGUGUCCAGUUGAACUGGUAUUUCCAUGUUUUUACACACAUGCUGGACUUGUCAGUUGUGGCUGCGUGGCUUUUGUGCAGGAGGGCGCAGGCGCACCUUGGCGAGAGUGACAGUCUUCCUCUUGCUCAAUUCAAGGCAGAGAUUGCCGAGUGUCUCACUUUCUAUAUGAAGUGUGAACGCCACCUUUGCAAGCCAUUGACGUGCAGCUACAGGCAAGGAAAGCUCGCGGACCAAUGGCAGCUGUUCCACCGAAGGAUGUUCUAACUGACCAAGUGGGACACUGGCCUAAAUUUGACAAUAGAAAGCGCUGCAAGCGCCCACUUUGCGCAAAAGAUCUGUGCGCUGCAGCAAAUGCAAAGUCCAGCUGUGCUUGAAUUCCGGAAGCAAUUGUGUUGUUCUGUUCCGCGAGGCAAGA